UUAGGUAGUCUUCUGAAUACAGGACUUUUACGUCUUUGGUUAGGUUUAAUCCUAGGUCCUUUAUUUUUCUUGUUGCUAUAUCAAAUGUGACUUUUUCUUGGUUUCUGUUUCUGAUAUUUCAUUGUAAGUGAACAAAAAUACCUUUGAUUUCUGGAUAUUGGCUUUGUAACCCACUGUUUUGC